CCUGUUCUUCCUAGUCCUGGGGCACUAUGGGCACUUAGGAAGUCCCCACAGUUGCCUGGGGAAGUCAAUACAAUUAUAUGAGUUUCCCUCAUAUCAUCCAGCUGUCUGAGGAGAGAAGACUUGAGGAAAAACCCAUGGCCAAGCGUACCCAGAGUUGGGCUUGGGUAUCAAGGGUAUAGACAAGAGCCAGCAGGUCAGUGGAACUCAAGAUGCAGGUAAGUGCACCUGUGUCACAGAGCCAGGCUCACUCACUAACAACUAGGUGGGGAGGGAGGCUGGCUUUUCGAGAAUGAUGCCAGCAGAUUUCAGAAGCAGUAUAGAUGAAAAACAAACCAAAACUAGGAAUGGACCUUUCAAUCAUCGGUGAGAUGAAUCGCAGUGUUAAAGAUUGUGUGAGAGGAAUGGUCCUGGGAUGUGACAUCAUUUCCAAGUGUGAACAGGCGGCCCUAGAAUAGAGCUAGAGCUAAACAAUGCAGGGGAAGUCAAAAAGAUGAGGUCAGGGUAUGAGGUGGUCCGAUUCGUGAACAAUUGACCAUCUCAUGAGUGGGCAAAGUUAGGUACACAGAAGAGAAUGCUGGAGCCAGAGAAGGUCACAUCCAGAUAGAAUUAAAUGUGCUCCAGGGGCUAGGCUUUGACAUUCAGUAUGGCACAGAGUUAGGACUGUUGAUAGCCGAAUGGGGCAAGGUGUUGGCAAGUGUGGAACAGCCUUCCAGGGUUUUGGCUCAGUGUACCUGUAUUUUCUUGGAUGGGAUAGUCCUUUGCAGGAACUUUUCACUUAGACUAUUAUUCCUUAGCAGAAUAGAUCUGGAUUUUAAUCCCCAGUGCCUAAUGCAUGGCCAGUAUUUAGUGAAAUGUGUUCCUGAAUGGAUGAGAGAGGGUUGGAUGGAUAGAUAGAUAGAUGCAUGAACGGAUGUCAAGAGGGAUGCACAGAAUGGAAAAUGGAUGGAUGGGAUACGAUGCAAUCAGAUGGCUGGGAUGGUAUGGAUCGACUGAUGGAUAGAUAUCAUAGAUGGAUGGUCAGACAGAUGGACAGAUGGAUUGACAGGUGGAUGGAAUGGGACUGAUUGACUAAUGACUACAUGGAUGGAAAUUACCAUAGCCCCAUGUAUCCAUUUAGAACAUUAAAGGGGAGAGUGUUUCUGUAAAGAUCCCUCCUAAGGUGAAGGGCAGAGUGAUGGUCACUGCUUUCCCUCUUAGGGUACUUGGGCGGUUUGCCUGGAGGCUGGAGACAGAAGUGAGGAGUUCUGUUUGAUGAAUGAGUUACGGUGAUAGGGAAUAAUAGACGAUAACUAACCCCCUUCACCUGAGCGUGACAUAGACCGCCCAAUCUCUACUUCUGGGCUCUUCACUCCCCCACCCGAUCAGUCCUAAUGGCUUCAUCAAUCACCUCUCUGAACACAGGCACCCUUUGCGUGUGGGCUCACACUGCUUCCUACUUCAUAUCUCUCCCAGGCAUGUGCGGUUCCACAUCACACAAUCUCCACUGCAGUCCUGGGCUUCUCCAGGGCUAGCACUGUGUGCCACCUCUCCCAGCGGCUAAGGAACUAGCAAGGAACUUUGACAGUUUCUUUUAUUUUCUACGUCUAACCCACCACCCCCUCCAUUUCAGGACACAAGGAACUCUUAAACGGCUUCUUCUACUUCUUCAUUAUGCAAACUGCCACUCAGCUUUAGAAUCCUGGAACACCUCUACAUGAAUCUACAUGUGGCAAUUUAGGACUCCCUUUAAUCCCCUCCCAACUCACAGUCAGAUUGUCUUUUUAAUUGGUUAAGUUUGAUCACUAAUAGUUUAAUGUAAGAAUUUAGGGCAUUCUGCUUACUCACCAUCACCCCUGCCAUUCUUCUUCCUCCCCAUAGCACCCCAACAUCUUUGUCUUGUUUGUGAC
ensembl:lncRNA